rnacentral:rRNA from 1 species
UGAAAGAAACAAUCCAAUAACGUAGAUUUUCUUAUAAUUAAGUUGUAGCUCCAGUAUUAGAAUAAAUACAUAUUCUCGAUAUAUUUAUUUAAUACGACAAUAGGGAUACCAUUGAAUUAAUUAACUAAUUAUAAUAAUCCAGAAAAUCAUUAUUAUUAAUUUUAAAUCAAUUAAUUGAUGGGGUCAAUUUGAUUUCAUUUCAAGUUAUCCCAGAACAGCAGAAAGAAAUCAUAUUUAUGAAAAAAUAUAAAUCUACUUAAAAUAUUUAUUUCAAUUUUAUUAUUAAAUUUACAAACUAGUAAGUAAGAUCAGAAUUUAAUUUUCCGCUCACUAAUACGAUGGAAUCGUGUCAAAUAGACGCCGAUAAAUAUAAGUAACUCGUCUAAAGUAAUUACUAAUAAAGGUAAUUUAUAC